rnacentral:rRNA from 1 species
GUCUACGGCCAUGCCACCCUGAAUAAACCUGAUGUCACAUCUCGGAAGCUAAGCAGGGUUGGGCCUGCUGUUAGUACUUGGAUGGGGGACCACCCAGGAAGACCAGUGCUGUAGGCA